rnacentral:rRNA from 1 species
UACGUAGGCAGCGAGCGUUGUUCGGAGUUACUGGGCGUAAAGGGUGUGUAGGCGGUUGUUUAAGUUUUGUGUGAAAUCUCCCGGCUCAACUGGGAGGGUGCGCCGAAUACUGAAUGACUAGAGUGCGGGAGAGGAAAGUGGAAUUCCUGGUGUAGCGGUGAAAUGCGUAGAUAUCAGGAGGAACACCUGUGGCGAAAGCGGCUCACUGGACCAUAACUGACGCUGAUGCACGAAAGCUAGGGGAGCAAACAGG